AAGAUUGUUAUUGUGUAAUACUAGGUAGGCUAUACCAGGGGUUGAAAGAUAAGAUUGUUAUUGUGUAAUACUAUGUAGGCUAUACCAGGGGUUGAAAGAUAAGAUUGUUAUUGUGUAAUACUAGGUAGGCUAUACCAGGGGUUGAAAGAUAAGAUUGUUAUUGUGUAAUACUAUGUAGGCUAUACCAGGGGUUGAAAGAUAAGAUUGUUAUUGUGUAAUACUAGGUAGGCUAUACCAGGGGUUGAAAGAUAAGAUUGUUAUUGUGUAAUACUAUGUAGGCUAUACCAGGGGUUGAAAGAUAAGAUUGUUAUUGUGUAAUACUAUGUAGGCUAUACCAG
ensembl:lncRNA